rnacentral:rRNA from 1 species
GACCGGCAAACGGGUGCGGAACACGUACGCAACCUUCCUUCAAGCGAGGGAUAGCCCAGAGAAAUUUGGAUUAAUACCUCAUAGGAAUGUAGUCUCGCAUGAGACAGCAUUUAAAGAUUUAUCACUUGAAGAUGGGCGUGCGUCUGAUUAGGUAGUUGGUGAGGUAACGGCUCACCAAGCCGACGAUCAGUAACUGGCGUGAGAGCGCGACCAGUCACACGGGCACUGAGACACGGGCCCGACUCCUACGGGAGGCAGCAGUAAGGAAUAUUGGUCAAUGGACGCAAGUCUGAACCAGCCAUGCCGCGUGGAGGAUGAAGGCCCUCUGGGUUGUAAACUUCUUUUAUUUGGGACGAAACACUUUCUUUCUAGAGAGCUUGACGGUACCAGAUGAAUAAGCACCGGCUAACUCCGUGCCAGCAGCCGCGGUAAUACGGAGGGUGCAAGCGUUAUCCGGAUUCACUGGGUUUAAAGGGUGCGUAGGCGGAUAUGUAAGUCCGUGGUGAAAUCUCCGAGCUUAACUCGGAAACUGCCAUGGAUACUAUAUAUCUUGAAUGUUGUGGAGGUUAGCGGAAUAGUUCAUGUAGCGGUGAAAUGCUUAGAUAUGACCUAGAACACCGAUUGCGAAGGCAGCUGGCUACACAACGAUUGACGCUGAGGCACGAAAGCGUGGGGAUCAAACAGGAUUAGAUACCCUGGUAGUCCACGCCCUAAACGAUGAUUACUCGACAUUUGCGAUAUACAGUAAGUGUCUGAGCGAAAGCAUUAAG